rnacentral:lncRNA from 1 species
UAUAGUGAGAAAUGUCCACUAUAUGAGAUUGUGGAAUGAUGAAAAUGGGAAUUCAAAUGUGAUCACACCAGCCUACAGAAUGACUCAAGAAGAUUGUCCAGCAAGGUCACUUUGUCUCUGUUUUGGGAUAGCAAAAAUACCAAGAUACCAUAUUGACAAAUUAUUUAAAAAAAGGAUUGAUAAUAAUAUAGGCACACUACAGGAACUUGAUACAAAAGUUAUGGGAUAGAAUCAAAGAAAAAAAGACAUAGUUUGCUGUCAAAAGUGGUAUGGCUGAUGAUGUACAGUCUAUUUAAUAAAGAUG